GGCCCUAUGGUCAAGCGGUUAAGACAUCGCCCUUUCACGGCGGUAUCCCGGGUUCGAAUCCCGGUAGGGUCA
rfam:Finegoldia magna ATCC 29328 DNA, complete genome.